rnacentral:rRNA from 1 species
GAUGAACGCUGGCGGCGUGCUUAACACAUGCAAGUCGAACGAAGCACUCUACUUGAUCUCUUCGGAGUGAUUGUUUUGUGACUGAGUGGCGGACGGGUGAGUAACGCGUGGGUAACCUGCCUCAUACAGGGGGAUAACAGUUGGAAACGACUGCUAAUACCGCAUAAGCGCACAGGGUCGCAUGACCUGGUGUGAAAAACUCCGGUGGUAUGAGAUGGACCCGCGUCUGAUUAGCCAGUUGGUGGGGUAACGGCCUACCAAAGCGACGAUCAGUAGCCGACCUGAGAGGGUGACCGGCCACAUUGGGACUGAGACACGGCCCAAACUCCUACGGGAGGCAGCAGUGGGGAAUAUUGCACAAUGGGGGAAACCCUGAUGCAGCGACGCCGCGUGAGCGAAGAAGUAUUUCGGUAUGUAAAGCUCUAUCAGCAGGGAAGAAGAAA